AUGAACGCUAGCUACAGGCUUAACACAUGCAAGUCGAGGGGCAGCGGGAUUGAAGCUUGCUUCAAUUGCCGGCGACCGGCGCACGGGUGAGUAACGCGUAUCCAACCUUCCGCUUACUCGGGGAUAGCCUUUCGAAAGAAAGAUUAAUACCCGAUGGUAUCUUAAGCACGCAUGAGAUUAAGAUUAAAGAUUUAUCGGUAAGCGAUGGGGAUGCGUUCCAUUAGGCAGUUGGCGGGGUAACGGCCCACCAAACCUACGAUGGAUAGGGGUUCUGAGAGGAAGGUCCCCCACAUUGGAACUGAGACACGGUCCAAACUCCUACGGGAGGCAGCAGUGAGGAAUAUUGGUCAAUGGGCGAGAGCCUGAACCAGCCAAGUAGCGUGAAGGAUGACGGCUCUACGGGUUGUAAACUUCUUUUGUGCGGGAAUAAAGGAGCCUACGUGUAGGCUUUUGCAUGUACCGUAACGAAUAAGCAUCGGCUAACUCCGUGCCAGCAGCCGCGGUAAUACGGAGGAUGCGAGCGUUAUCCGGAUUUAUUGGGUUUAAAGGGAGCGUAGACGGGUUUUUAAGUCAGCUGUGAAAGUUUGGGGCUCAACCUUAAAAUUGCAGUUGAAACUGGAGACCUUGAGUACGGUUGAGGCAGGCGGAAUUCGUGGUGUAGCGGUGAAAUGCUUAGAUAUCACGAAGAACCCCGAUUGCGAAGGCAGCCUGCUAAGCCGCCACUGACGUUGAGGCUCGAAAGUGCGGGUAUCAAACAGGAUUAGAUACCCUGGUAGUCCGCACGGUAAACGAUGGAUACUCGCUGUUGGCGAUAGACGGUCAGCGGCCAAGCGAAAGCGUUAAGUAUCCCACCUGGGGAGUACGACGGCAACGGUGAAACUCAAAGGAAUUGACGGGGGCCCGCACAAGCGGUGGAGCAUGUGGUUUAAUUCGAAGCAACGCGAAGAACCUUACCAAGUCUUGACAUCCUUCUGACCGGUACUUAACCGUACCUUCUCUUCGGAGCAGGAGUGACAGGUGGUGCAUGGUUGUCGUCAGCUCGUGCCGUGAGGUGUCGGCUUAAGUGCCAUAACGAGCGCAACCCUUGCUGCCAGUUACUAACAGGUCAUGCUGAGGACUCUGGCAGGACUGCCAUCGUAAGAUGCGAGGAAGGUGGGGAUGACGUCAAAUCAGCACGGCCCUUACGUCCGGGGCUACACACGUGUUACAAUGGGGAGUACAGAGGGCAGCUACCGGGCGACCGGAUGCGAAUCCCGAAAGCUCCUCUCAGUUCGGACUGGAGUCUGCAACCCGACUCCACGAAGCUGGAUUCGCUAGUAAUCGCGCAUCAGCCACGGCGCGGUGAAUACGUUCCCGGGCCUUGUACACACCGCCCGUCAAGCCAUGAAAGCCGGGGGUACCUGAAGUACGUAACCGCGAGGAUCGUCCUAGGGUAAAACCGGUAAUUGGGGCU
rnacentral:rRNA from 1 species